UCGGGCCGGUCCUCCCCGCUGCCCGGGGCCUGCGACGCGCUCCCUCUGGGGCGUGGAGGUUGACCGCUCAGCUCGCGCUCUAGGAAAUGAGCCGGAGGGGCGGGGAAGAAAUGCUGCUUGUAAAAGUGACUGGCCCGUCACGGUGGAGGCUUCACUAUCUGACACCCCGGUCCAACACUGCCACUGGAGUCAAGUGGCAACUGCAGCUGACAUUCUGUGGACAUGUCUGACCCUGAAUUGUUCUCCUGUACCUGAUGCCAUCAAUAGCAGCCCUCGACAUGGACCCCCUUUAAACAGUCUGCAGAGGGAAGGAAAGAACAAACUUACAGAGAAGCAAUUGUGAGACUGUGCAGGUCCUGAGAGAGAGAAAAGACAGCCUGUAAGUGAUAGAUUUAUUACUGCCUCCUGGAGACCCAAAGAUGAGACUGAGUCAGAUGGAGCUGGCCAGUCACUGCUUGAGAGCUUAUCUGUGACUUUCUGAAGGUGUAAGUGAGUCGGAGCUUCCCGGAGGACCGUGGCUCCAGGCAGGCGGACAGUCCCUAUGGUAACCUGCUCUUGGUAUGAAAAUAAACAAAAAUUUCCCAGAUGAGAACAAAUGGAGGCUAUUUACUCAAUCAUCCACUGUCACUUGCAUUUUACAGCAUCUUGAAGACAGAAAGGGCUUAAGGAGCUUCUACUUAGAGAUCAAAGAGAUGGACUACACUGAUGAGCAGGAGAAGAGGGGAUACGAAGUCAGCAAUUAAGAAGGAUUUCUCAGAAACGAACCUGUGAAGCAUCUUCUGUUUCACACUCUCAUGGCGCUCAUUCUGUGGAAGCACCCGGCGUUGAACGGGGACUCUAGUGCGGUGGCUUCUUCCCCGGCAGACUUCCAGUCUUCUUGGCUAAAUUUUUACUUCUUAGCGGGAGCGCCGCGCUUGGCUCUGUGGCUUGAGCCAGUAGCGCUGGGUCCACCAGGAAUCAAGUUCAUAGAUUCACUGAGAACCUACCAUCUGCUUGGUCACUUUGUUCCUGAGGUCCACCUGGCUCUUUCUCCACUAAACAUCCUGCACGGUUUUCAGCAUUCACUUCUCUAGAGAUUCCUCUGGCUGCUGUGAAGAUGGUAGGCAAGGGAGCCCACUUAGAAGCCCAGCGUGGUGGUACAGAUGUAUUAUAUGCAGGUCCAAAUGGUGAAGAGUGCAUAGAGGAAUUAGGGGCAGGAUCUAAUACACAAGAAGAGAGAUCCUGUUGUCCUGAGGGGCAGUGCCCAGCCCCCUGCCUUCCAUGUGCCUGCACACCUUCAGCCCUCCGAGGGAGACCCGUGUGGAAAAGGAUGACAUCAAGCAAAGAGCAUAGGUGUGGGAAGUCCCUCUCCCUACAGCACAUCGCCGGCUGCUCUUAGCUCCCAAGUUUGAGAGCAGGAAGACUUGCUUCAGAUGGCUGGCACUGCGGUCCCCAGCCCUGCCUCAGAUGCACAGAACAGUGUACAGAAGGAGAAAAGCACGACUCUCUUUCUGAAACAAGAUGAUACAUGCACAGGAAAUUAAAUGGUAGUGAAUGAACACUAAGCCUGGAAGAGAAAGUUGUAGACAAGCUGAGAGAAACUGAGAGCUAAGCCAGCAGCGGAGGAGAUGUCCAUAUUUGCCGGACAAUUUUCUUUUGGUUGAAGAAUUGAAAUGAGUCUCUAUUAUGAAAAUGAAGUGUCAUAGAUUUUAAUCAGUGUGGAUCACCUCUGGUGCUGAUCUAAUGAAAGGCUAUGAAGAAGACAGGAAGGAUAACAAAGGAGCGAUCAUAAAAACCCAGGAACUAAAGAUGAUUUGCAAACGUAAUUGCAAAAAGAGAUAAUUUUAAUAUCAGAAGAUUGCAAAGAAAACAAAAGAAGGAAGAAUUUGACUGAGUGUAACUCUUCUAAGGAAAGACAACACCAGCCUGCAGGCAUACACACAUCUAGGACAUCCUGUUGAUGGUAACAUUUUAAUUCACGGACUCCAUCUUCUUUGCAAGCAGCUUGAUUUACACAAGAAAUCCAGAAAUGACACAUCCAGUGACAAGGCCAAAUCUGUGAUUCCAGCUGGAAGCCAGUGCUCGUUUCAGUCAAAGAGGCCAAAUCGGGGUGUGACUCAAGGAGUCGGACGUCAGAGCAGCGACCAGAAUGAUGUCGAUUUUGACCAGGUGUGCGCAGGAGCAUUGCUAAGAGGCAAUGAUUCUGGAAAAUCUUCCAAAAGUGCCAAAUGGAGGAAAAAGCUCUCAUGUGUUGGCACAUAAUUGGGUAGAUUGGUGAGAUUUUCCAAAAGAAUUAUUUAAAAAUGUUUUAGGAAUUUCUAAAGAGUUAUUUCUUCUUACAUCUUUGAAAACAGACAUUCUAAUAAUUACAUUUGUCAACAACUGUCCUAUUAAAAAUAAAAUCCAUUAUGUCAUGCCAAAGGGCAUGAUUGUCUCAGUAAAAAGAAAAAUCGGAGAAAUGGAGAAAAGUUUACCUUUUUACAUGUACUUGUUAGCCAGAGGCAUCUGUUUGCUCUGUUUUUACCCAUCUGUUCCAACUUGAUAUAAAAUUAUUCAUUCAAUUCCAGAAUAGGAUUACUGUGUUUUAAUACCAGAGAGAUUUGGCCUUUGAUAAUUGUCACUGGUAUUCAGAAGAUGAUUCUGGUUAAGUCUAUGUGUCCACAAAACACCACAAAAAUAAAUAGUGGGAUUCCUUCAGAUAAAAAAUGUAUUGAGGAAUAUUUCAGAAAGGCUGGGAUCCCUAUAAAGCACUGAAAUGUUCCCAAAAUUUGGCUGCAUACAAAUGGUCAUAUACACAGUUUAUUUUUCUUUGUUCUACAGUGGGAAAUUUCACUGGCAUUAAAUAUUACUGAGAAUACCUAUAUUAGUUUGUGAGUGCUUGUUUAAGAUCCUACUAGAGUUAUAAUGAAGUUAAUUAUUAUCAGUAAUAAUAGCAUUUAUGGAAAAUCCACUGUGUGUAGUUUUAUUGGUUUAGUAUCUAAUUAUAACGAAUAUACACCUGCUCUGACACCACUACUCUCUGAUGCUUAUAAGUUAAAUUGUGUGUGUGUGUGUGUGUGUGUGUGUGUGUGUGUGUGUAAUACUAGAAAGGUGUUUGACUCUGGUAGAUAUAUUCAUGAAAAAGAAUCAAGAUUAUAUCGCUCUGUCAGAGAAAGACAAUUAUAUGAUAUUUAUAUGUGGAAUCUGAAAAAAAAGAUACAAGUAAACUUAUUUAAAAACCAGAAAUAGAUGCACAAACAUAGAAAACAAAUUGUGGUUAUUGAAGGGGGAAAGGGUGGAGGAGAGGGAUUAAUUAGGAGUUUGGGAUUUGCAGGUACAAACUACUAUAUAUAAAGUAAACAAUAAGGACCUACUGUAUGGCAUGAGGAACUAUAUUCAAUAUAUUUUAAUAACCUAUAAUGGAAAAGAAUCUGAAAAGGAAUAUAUAUGUGUGUGUGUGUGUGUGUGUGUGUGUCUGUAUAAAUGAAUCAUUUUGCUGUACAGCUGAAACUAACACAACAUUGUAAAUCAACUAUACAUAAGUAAAAAAUUAAAAAAAGAAUCUCUCUGUGAUGAAAUAGAUCCCUAAGCUACCGUUGUUUUAAAGGCAUGAUUGAAUUGUGUCACCAUACUUGAGGAGAACUUCACUGAGCAGGUCUUCUAAAACUAGGCUUUGGGCAUGGGUACAUUGGAUCAGAAGGGUACGUGGUGCAGGCUUGGGGUAGCGCUGGUGUGAGCAUCAUGAUGCAGGCAAGAGGAGUGGUGCAGGUGACAGGAGAGAGAAGAGAAUGAGCACACUACACGAGAAAGAUAAUAGCAUAAACAGGCAUUAUUUGAAUAACACAGAAGAAUUGGUGUGCACGUGUGUGUGUUGCUGAGGAGUAUGGAGCAAAGAAUAAGCUUGGAUUAGCAAAAAAGGACCUCUGUGUAGAAAUACUUAAAUGGCCACUUGAGGACUCUAAGCUUAAACAUUGUAGAUUUCUGUUCAGGACACUAGCCUGCAGGAAGUAGUAUUUUCAGAAGGUACCUAGUGCUGGAUGUGUAGGAGACCAGGGGAAAUUAAAAAUAAGAAAUCAAUCAUUUAGAUCCGUUGUCUUUUACACUACAUUACAUUCCCACAGGUGCAUAUUUCAAUUCAUUAGGAUCAGAAUUUACUUUAUCUACAUUUUAUUCUCAUACUGUUAGUAAUUACCUUUAUUUGGAAUGUGUUAACUAUUAUUUAAUUAGCACACACUUGUAUUUUAUAAAUAAAUAUAUGUAUACAAAAUGGUUGAUCAAUUAAGUAUUUAGUAAUAGUGCUGUGGGUUCAUAAAUUUGUACGUGACAUUUAGGUGAAGCUUGGCUAAUGUGGUAGCAUUGAUAUUUAAUCAGGGGGCCUAAAACUAAAAUCAGGAGCUUGGAAAAGCCAAAUUGGACAAAUUUCAUAAAACAAAGUACAAAGGAAUUUAGUGACAUGUUGGGAAUGGAUGAAGAGGAUGACAUAGGGAAAACUAACGCAAAGAUUUUGUGCCUGGAGAACUAACAUCAUGAUGUCAUGUACUAAAAUUUAGAAUUUAGAGGAUAAACUCUGCCUUUAAAUGGUCAGUUUAAUUUGCAAUAUUUUUUAUCACCCUAUUUAUUAUCAAAUGUAUGCAAAACACCUACCCUUCUUUUUUGUUUCAUAUUAAAUCUAAAAAAUGUCAUCUGAACACCAAGUAUGUGCUGAAUGUGCUGAGAAUACAGAAAAGGAAAAAAGUGUCUCUAAACCCUAAAAUACUCCCAAUAUUGGGUGA